rnacentral:rRNA from 1 species
UACGAAGGGGGCUAGCGUUGCUCGGAAUCACUGGGCGUAAAGGGUGCGUAGGCGGGUCUUUAAGUCAGGGGUGAAAUCCUGGAGCUCAACUCCAGAACUGCCUUUGAUACUGAGGAUCUUGAGUAUGGGAGAGGUGAGUGGAACUGCGAGUGUAGAGGUGAAAUUCGUAGAUAUUCGCAAGAACACCAGUGGCGAAGGCGGCGACCUGGUCCUUUACUGACGCUGAGGCGCGAAAAGCGUGGGGAGCAAACAGG